UACGUAGGGGGCAAGCGUUGUCCGGAAUCAUUGGGCGUAAAGCGCGUGUAGGCGGCCCGAUAAGUCCGCUGUGAAAGUCCAGGGCUCAACCCUGGAAUGCCGGUGGAUACUGUCGGGCUCGAGUCCGGAAGAGGCGAGUGGAAUUCCUGGUGUAGCGGUGAAAUGACGCAGAUAUCAGGAGGAACACCGGUGGCGAAGGCGGAUCUCUGGGCCUUACCUGACGCUCAGGCGCGAAAGCUAGGGGAGCGAACUGG
rnacentral:rRNA from 1 species